GGAAAGAUUCAUCGGUAUGGGAUGGGGUCGCGUCCUAUCAGCUUGAUGGCGGGGUAACGGCCCACCAUGGCUUCGACGGGUAGCCGGCCUGAGAGGGCGACCGGCCACAUUGGGACUGAGAUACGGCCCAGACUCCUACGGGAGGCAGCAGUGGGGAAUAUUGCACAAUGGGCGCAAGCCUGAUGCAGCGACGCCGCGUGCGGGAUGACGGCCUUCGGGUUGUAAACCGCUUUUGACUGGGAGCAAGCCCUUCGGGGUGAGUGUACCUUUCGAAUAAGCACCGGCUAACUACGUGCCAGCAGCCGCGGUAAUACGUAGGGUGCAAGCGUUAUCCGGAAUUAUUGGGCGUAAAGGGCUCGUAGGCGGUUCGUCGCGUCCGGUGUGAAAGUCCAUCGCUUAACGGUGGAUCCGCGCCGGGUACGGGCGGGCUUGAGUGCGGUAGGGGAGACUGGAAUUCCCGGUGUAACGGUGGAAUGUGUA
rnacentral:rRNA from 1 species